UCACAAGCAUACCAAUUCUUUUCAACAGCAUUCAGCUGGUCCAGAGAGCCCAGUGCGAUUGAAACGUAUGUAGCCCCCAUAUUUCCACAGUGCUAAGCUGGACCUACCGAACUGAUGAGGUUUUUACAACUGGACCAUUCAUGCUCAUACAGCAUUCGACAAGGAAGCAGCCCGCCACUCAAUACGUCAAUGUCAAUCAUACGACGAGAUGUGCGAUGAUGAUGUAUUAGUUACGUAUAUUUGCCAAAACCAAUUAUCCGUGGUUUCCCAAAGGAAGGCAUGGCUACAGUUUGUGCUACAAUGUUCGUCACCUCAUUGGUGAUGACCUUUUGCAAAGUCGGCGUCGGAGGCGGAGGAUGGAGAGAAAUCAGUAAUCCGAACGCGUUCCAGCUCCGCGCUUUAGCGCGCUUCGCCUAUAAAAAACAAAAGGGGCCAAGUGCUGUUGGCGUAACAUUUCUCGUAACGCAAGCCAGAUGGAAGACUACGGGAGGAACAAUGUACAACAUUGGAUUCAUUGUCUCCCGGGGACCUACGAUUCUCGAGAAAUGUAUUGCCAUACUUACGAUACUCCCCAUUCUCGGCACUGGCCGGCGCAGAGUCGUCAAUAGAUUUUGGUGCCGGCCGGUACCCUAGCAAGAAGCUGUUGCGUACAACGGGAGGACUGU